UGAUUUUCUCUUAAUCUAUAUUUUAAAUAAUAGCCUAAUGCUUAGGAAAAAUGCUUAUUUAGUUCAUGUUAUGCUACUUAUGAUUAUUUGUAAUGUAGAUUAAGUCAAAUGAAGAUGUGUUUACUAUAUCUUAUAACUGGUACCAUAGUUAACAGAGUCUAAACUAUUUUUAAGGGACAGUUUUGCAAAUUAUUAUCAGAUUAAAUACCUAAUAAAUGCCAAAUUUACAAAAGUCUGAUUAUAUUCUGAAUCAUUUAGGUAAGGAAUACAUUUGGAAAAAGUGAUGCACAGAGAUUGUAAAUCAGUGAAUCCAUUUUAAAAUCUGAACAUUCUUGUUAAAAAAUAUAUAUAAUGCUGCUGUAAAGUAUUAUUUACAUUGUAAUUAUAGGCUAUUAUUUAGUGUAAGCUAAGGUGAUUAUUAUUGCGUACAGGUGCUACAAGAUGUUCUUGAAAUUUUUUCGUACAAUUUACAAGAAAUUUUAAUACGAAAGAUUUUGUUGAAUCAUGAUUUGUUCAUGAAAACGUUCAUAUGCAUAUUUUACCUACAAAUUUGUGCGUACGCAUGCUAAGUGAAUGAGAAACCGAUGCCUAGUAAAUGCAUUGUUGUAUGGUCAUAUAGCUCUGCUUUUAUUUGCAUAAGGUAAAAUAUUAAGCAAGGGCAGCAUAUUUAAAGUGUCUACAUUAUUACUGCAGGUCAGAUAUAAUAUUUCUGAUUACUCUUUUUAAAAAAACGAAAGGGUUUAUAAGGGUUAGUUUUAAGGGUUUUAAUUUAAGGCUUUUAGGAAGAUAAUGGUUUAUUGUCAAAGUACACUAGAUACAACGAAAUUGCAGAGCUUCUGCAUAAGGUGCAUGGUACAUAAUAGACCAUAGGAGACAAAAGAAAAAGUACUAUUACAAAAGGACACAACAUUAAGGAGUGGAGAUAUUACACUGUUAUGUAAUAGUAAGGACGAUACACUUAUGAUACACAUAAUGCUCAGGGAAGUGUAAAUAUGAUACACCUGUAAUACACAACAUUGUAAUACACAACACAACAACGUUUUAUUACUGUCUUGUACUUAUAUAUGCCCAAAUAUUUAGCUUAUACUGACACUAAAGACACACUUUUGUUUGUGGAGGGCUACAGGGCUAAUUGAUGUAUCGGUGAGUCUUUGCCAUCAACCGUGAAAGCUAAAGUUCAAGACAACCAGGGAGUUAUGGUUAGUUUAGGGUUCAGGCUCACUCACUAACUUUUAACGGAUUUAUUUUGUUAGUCCUUUGGUAUAUUAAGGAGAGACUAUAUGUUUUAAACAUAUUUUGAGAACUAUGGUAUUUUUGAAAAAAAUUGCAUCUUAAUGCUUCACUUGUCCUUCUUCUCAACACUGUCCUAUCCUCAUAAUGUAUGAUUAAUUUAUGUUAAAAUAAAUUGAACUUUCAAAUUCAGAAAAAUUCUGCUUAUGAUGCUUCUCUUGGGUAAGUUGCUUUGGAUGAUAAAUGUCUGCAGAGUAAUGUACAGUAAAUGCAAUUAAGAUGCACAUGAAACUGAAUAAGAACUACUUUGCCUUUUUAUGGAUUUCCACUCCACCUGUAGUAAAGUUUUAUUGUUGUUUUUAAGGCUGUUUGGUGUUUUUAAAAGUCAAGUGCUAUGUGCGUUUUCAUUAGUAAAAACAUUUUGUGAGUAUUUUCUCACUAAAAUCGCAGUUUUAAAACCACCUUUUAUACAUCAGUGGUUCUCAAAGUGCGGUACAAACGUACUUAUGCCACAAUAGUUAGCUUGACCAGAACCGAGCACGCACAGAUCCAUUUUAAUGUAUAACUGUAUUCCUUUAACAGUACACAUGAGCAGCCUCUACACUAAUAGCAACUUGUUUCUGUUUUUCUGUCUCGUCCUCGAUUCCCCAAGUACAUCUGGUUUUAGUUUGUGUGAUGCCCACCCACCCCCAUGCUACCAAAUUGAUGACUGCCCAGCGACAACUUGCAACUCUGUUAAAUUAUGUAAUAAAGUAAUGGUUGGUGGUUUACUGGUUCAUUCCAAAUACCGUUUUUUUACUUUUGUUAUGAUAUGAAUUUUUAAUAUACACCCAUACCAGUAUAUGUCGCUUAAACUACAUGUGGAACGCAGCACGGCGGGACACUGUGUGAGAGGAGUCGGCAACAUGGCUUGUAUACCACUGCUAUGCAGAUGACACACUCCACAACUCUACUUCUCAUUCCAGCCUGACAAUCCCACGGUUUCUGCCUGCAUCUUACUCUAGAUAAAGGGUUAUCCUGCUGAACCUUGCAAAGAUGGAACUGCUUGUCAUAUAAAUUCAUCACAAUCUUUCCAUCCAACUAGGUUUCUUCAACCAUUACGCCUUCCAGGACAGGCAAAAACCUGGGAGGGGUAAUUGAUGAUCAGCUUUGCUUCACAGAGCAUGUUUCCAGCACCACCUGCUCUUGUAGAUUCGUCAUUAGGUAAAUUAGACCUUUCCUAUCCGAGCAUGCUACACAAGUCCUAGUCCAGGCUCCCAGUCUACAUUAUCAAACCCCCAAAGAUGAUCUAGAAUGCAACGGCAAGGGUUGUCUUCAAUGAGCCAAAGAGGGCGCACCUCACUCCUCUCUGUCAGGAUACACUGGCUUCCUAUAGCAGCUCGCAUCAAAUUCAAAACUGUUCCUGACCUUUAAAACAACCACUGGGUCACCGCCCACUUACACUCACUCGCUUAUACAGACUUAAGUACCCUCUAGAUUCUUGCGCUCAGCCACCGGGCAAUGGCUUGUGGUGCCAUCCCUAAAAGGAAAAAAAUCACUAUCGCAUACCUCUGGCUCUUUUCAACAUCUGUGGAAUGAUCUGCAAGUUGCGACAAGAUAUCCUCAUUCUGUAGCCGUCUUUAAGAAUCGGCUUAAAACUCAUCUCUUCCGCCAAUACUGUACUUCGCUUACUAAUACAGAGCUUAAUAUCUUUUUCUAUUGUUUAUCUUUAUUUUUCUAUCCCUUGGCUAUGUGUACUGUGUUAGGAUUGAUGUUCUAUUUGCUUCUAUUGUUUACCUAAUGCGUAUGUCGCUUUAGACAAAAGUGUCUGCUAAAUGACUAAAUGUAAGGUAAGAUGGGGAUGGGUCAAAGCGUUCAUUAUGCUCUACCAGCUAAUAUGGUGCUGAAAUCUUUUUAAUAAAACAAUGCAAAAGCUCUGCACUCUAAAAUUAAUUUAAUUAACUUUACCAGGGAUCACAUUAACUACAGUUGACCAAGUGGAUCAGAUAUUUUAUCAUAAAUUGUGGCAUUUAAUUUAAUCUAAAAACUUUAUUGAAUUAUUAAUAUUGUAUUGCAAUACUGGAAAAUGUGCAUUAGUACAAAUUAUUUCGUUUUAUGAUUAAGGUCCAAACUGCAUCUUACAGUCUUAUAUGGCUCAUCUAAAUGACUGUGACUGAACACAUACAUUUCAUUAUUUUUAUUUUUUUGACAGAUGAUGGCACAGAUAGAUGAAAAGAGAAUAGAAUUGCUGACCUGAUGGAUUUUUGACUUCUGCAGUAAUACAUCUGUAUAUCUUGCACUGGUUGCAAACUUAAAAACAGUAGUUUGAUGUGGUGUGAAUAAAAAGAAUGGCAGACAACAUGAACUUAGAAAUUUUUAAUGGAUACUUUUUUAGACACAGCAGAAGCAAGUCAUAUUACAUGAUUGUAUGUAGGAAAUUAUGAAGUUUCUUACCUUCCCAAUGUCACGGCUCUUGGCUCUCAGCUUGUUAACCUGGGACUCGGCAAUGUCAGCGCGCUCCUGAGCCUCCUCCAUCUCAUGCUGCACCUUCCUGUACCUGGACAGGGAACAAGAGCUGAUGUGAAUUUAAGAUUUCUAAAAGAGAAAAAGCAGGCCCACUGUGAAUCCUCAGGAGUCAUGAGCUGCAUUUAUAUAGUGUCAUAACUAAGUGCUCAGCAGAACUGUGCAUCUGCAUAUGGUCAUGUUGUUUAACUUGCACUCCCAAUGGAAAACAGCGUGAUGUUCUC